UACAAGCUGAAAGGCCUCGUUCAGUCAUCAGAGUCAACCUUGGAAUUGCUUUUCCUUGGUGGCGUCAGCUGAAGUUCACCACGAGGAUGAAAGAUAACACGGAGUUAGCCUGUUUUCUGUUGGACCUGAUCAGUUGAGCAUUGGAAAAAAACACACACAGAUGAAAAACAAUGGUCUGAUGACGGGGAAAUGAGCCUGACACCCCCGUGGUAAAGUGAGGAUAGAAGUGCUGAGAUGUACAGCGUUAUUACUCAUUUCCAAAUACAGGAUCUUUACCAGAAAUGAGCCCUGUCUCUCUACAGACGGGGUCCCUGCACUGCCGCACAUGUGACUCCUCGGAUUCAGCCCACUUCUCAAAAAAUUCCAUCUCCCAUUCUUGUUGUUUCUAAUUGUCAUUGUUUUUAAAUCACAGCAGGACAUUUUUUUGCCCAUUUUUGAACAAUACUUCUGUGAACAGUGCAAUCCAAAUCCACCUACAGUGCAGAUCUUCAGCAUUAAUGAAAUAGAACGUGAGCCUGUUUGAAUAAGAUGGACUGAAAAGGGUUUAAUCAUCAGAAUGGAAAAAAGAACCUCAAACUGAAACUCCCUCUUUUCUGGAAACGUUUGCUGUGCAGAAGAGCUACGCAGCGCUGCCUGAACCCUCCGCCUAUUGGCCAUCUGCACUCUGAAUUUUCUCAGCACAGUCAUUGACUUACUUAUUUGCUCUAACCAAUGGAGGAUACAAGGAAAGGAUGCAAGGAAAAGAUAUGAGGAUGGAGGAAUCAAGGCAACAUGUAUUACACAAAUGGAUCAUCCUUGCUCUGUCAAGCAUCAGUUUGAAGGCAUGUCAACGACAGACGCGACAGAUGGGGAGAGGUGGAUCCACAGAUGGAUUGUUUAUACAUCACACAUUUUGAAAAAAUGACUUCCACAAAGGAUGCACACUCCUAACUCCUCUAAGGAGCAUUUAUUGGAUUGGAAUGUCCAUAAAGAUGGUGGACCUCGAUUGAUUUUUGGGCAGACAGGGAAUCAAAUCAUGAUGUAGAAAAGCCCCCAGUGGGGAAAAAGCCCUCAGGCGGUAGCGAGAAAAAAAUGUCCAAUGGGAGGAACUUGGCUACAGAGGGAACUCUGUAUGAGAAGGCUCUACCUCCAAUUAUAAUUUUAUACAUGCUUGAAAUUUGCAAAUAGCCAGCAUCUGGACAAAAGUGGGUAGCACUGUCACCUCA